GACGAACGCUGGCGGCGUGCUUCAUACAUGCAAGUCGAACGAGGUCCAACCGGUAGCAAUACCGGUGAAGACCUAGUGGCGAACGGGUGAGUAACGCGUGAGGAACCUGCCCCGAAGACCGGGAUAACAGCGGGAAACCGCUGCUAAUACCGGAUACCCUCCCCGGAUCGCAUGGUCUGGCGAGGAAAUGGAUUCCGCUUCGGGAGGGCCUCGCGGCCUAUCAGCUCGUUGGUGGGGUAACGGCCUACCAAGGCGACGACGGGUAACUGGUCUGAGA
rnacentral:rRNA from 1 species